AUUGAACGCUGGCGGCAGGCCUAACACAUGCAAGUCGAGCGGAAGAAGAGAGAGUGCUCGUGGAUUCGGGGGCGGAGGGGUGAACAAGGCCGAGGAAUCUGGCUGGUAGUUGGGGAUAAGGUCCGGAAACGGGGGCUAAUACGCUAUAAGUGCAGAGGGCGUAAGGGGGGAAGCUGGGGACCUUAGGAUCUCGGGUGAUCCUAGGUCGGAUUAGCUAGUUGGCGGGGUAAAGGCCUACCAAGGCGACGAUCCGUAGCUGGUCUGAGAGGAUGAUCAGCCACACUGGAACUGAGACACGGUCCAGACUCCUACGGGAGGCAGCAGUGGGGAAUAUUGGACAAUGGGCGAAAGCCUGAUCCAGCCAUGCCGCGUGUGUGAAGAAGGUCUUCGGAUUGUAAAGCCCUUUUAGUUGGGAGGAAGAGCAGUAAGUUAAUACCUUGCUGUUCUGACGUUACCCAAAGAAUAAGCACCGGCUAACUUCGUG
rnacentral:rRNA from 1 species